rnacentral:misc_RNA from 1 species
ACUUGUUUGACUAAUGGAAUAUGCUGGAAUAUACUUUAGAAAAUGAAACGGACCAAAGUGUUUGACAAAAGCAAAACUGAGGGACUCUUUACUAUAUUUUUCAAAAUAGAAGGAUGAAAGUGUUAAUAAUGGCAAAACAAAGAGACCAAAUAGUAAUUUACUCGUGAAACUUUCAUAAAUUUAUGAAAAUGGAAAGAACCUGCAUGGAAAUGGAAUAAGCACAUAACCACUAGUCCACCAACCAUAGCCAACUGUUGCCAACCUGUUGUUGGCCACCACAGUUGUGUAAUUUUCUUUUCCAGUGAACUGUAAAUGGAAAAAUAUGGAUUUUUUUUAAAUGUCGAAAGAUUCCAAAGUCUUUUACAUUUGGAAAAAAAAAAAAUUUUCCCCCCAGUAUACUCCAAACAUCAAAA